UUGGGUUUCUUCUUUCUUUUUCCUCUGUUGCCUUCGGCGAGCACAUAUUCACUGGUUUUUCUUCCAUUUUGAAUAGCGUCCAUGCUGGGUUCAUCAAUGGGUUUCUUUAUUUGGCCAUUUUUUGUUUUUGUUUUUUUAUUUUUUAUUUUCCUUAUUGGGUUGCUAUCGUUGUUGGCUUUCUUAGUGUGUUUAUUGCUGGGUUGUUGGGUGCUAUUUGCUAUGUUGUUGUGUUGUACGGGUUGCAAAUGGAAAAAAUUUGGGUCAUGGGUUUUUCUUCAAAUUUAAUUGAUGGGUUUUCAUAAUCUUACUUGUUUUUUAUUUUGCUUGGGAUUAAGGUUUUUUUCGUGAUUUUGCUUAGAAUUGGGAUUUGUUUUUGAUUUUGCAUCAUAUUGGGGUUUUCAUUUUGAUUUUGGUCGCUCGUUGUGCAGUGAUUUGAGUUAGCACGAUGACCGAAGUUUGCUCCAUGAGGUGAGCUGCUUGGCCUCAAGUUGUAUUUGGGUUUUGUUAUCAGGAUUGUAUCAGAUUUGGCGUCGUUGGAAACGGCACCAAUACCAAUCUCAAAAGCAACCCGGCAAAGUGAUAGGAGUGGAUAUCAAUGAUAUCUCUGCAUGCAGGCUUCAUCAUCCUAUGUGUAAUCGCAAUAUGAAAGAAUGAUGAUGAGUUUUGUACCAUUCUUUCGAGGUGAUGAUAAAUUGUGUGCCACUCCUUCGAGAUCAUAGAAUGACUAGUUGGUAUAAUAUGAGAAAAUGAUGAUGAGUUGUGUGUCAUUUUUUCGGAGUGAUGAUAAGUUGUGUGCCACUCCCUCAUGACAUUGGUUUUUAUGUAUUUCUUUAUUAUCUAGUGGUAUUUCAGGAAGCCAUGCACCAUCUAGUAGUGCUAGGUAUAAUGUAUGAUAUAUUUUAUAUGCUUUUUCUGAUA